UUUUGUUCCACGCAUUUAACAUGUAAUGCCAGGGAUGCGAAAGUUCAUGUCUGAAAUUCCUUCAUCAUCUUGUAAGUCGGACGAUAUAAAAUGGUUAAUGAACUUACCCGAAGGCAUCCGUAAAUCAAACAAAUCAAAUCAGAUCAAAAAGAGUAUAAUGAACAGAUGGAAGAAAAAGUGGAUCUUGUGGAGUUGGAGUAUUCUAAAGAUUUUUGACGAUAGCGUGUUCGAUAACUCAGAACGUAAUGUAGUGUACCAUAUUGCAGGAUACAUUUUUAAGAGUGUCCCGAAACAUUAUACUGUUUGUGAGGCAUGCUUUACAACAUGUACUAGUACGACCCCAUUUUCAAAACAAUUUACAAAGUAUAUUAUCCUCAAAGAUUUUAGUGGGGAAUGUAACAGAAGUGGUUUAUUUGUUUUUUAACACUCAUGAAAUCACUUACCAUAAAUAUCUUUGAAGAAGAAUGUCAUAAUAUUCGCAAGAUAAUCGAGCAUGUAACGUUCCGUUUGUGAAUUUAUCAACAAUACAAAAAAGGGAAAAUAAGCCUGAGAGUCGUUCAAUGGCACUGUAGAGGUUCGGCGAAUCAAUUGAAAUAUGCAUUCAUCACGUUCUUGUUAACUUGCUGAUUUUUGUAGACAAUAUAAGAAAUCCAUAUCAACUUUUGAAUAGGGCUAAUAAGUUAUGUAAACAAACUUUUGUUUGAUUUCUCUUAAUUUAUUAUACUUUCAACACAGAAAACAUUUGAAAUUGAUUAUACCAAGGGUAAAGAUGUUGAUUCAUGUGUAUUUUUCAUUAAAUUCAAUUCGGCAUCAGAAUAAUGAGCGAAAUAAGUUUGUUUGCAAAAAUCUCAUUAACCCUUUUGAAGAAUUAAUAUUGAAAUGAGGAAAGGUAAAUAUAUAAAUAAAUAGAUGUUCACUCCAAUUAUUGUAAUAUUUUCCUACCAAUAACAAUACUCCUCUUGCGAGCACGCAUGAGGACAUUGACUUAUUUGACGUCUAGGACACCAACACAGUUGCAAUGUGUAUAGACAACAUACAUAUAAAGCUAUGUUUUCAAUUCGCCAUCUGAUUUAACCUCAUUUGGCAAAAAAACUACCCGAUUUAACCUCAAUCUCGCACUAACACAACUCCACAUAGAUUAG